rnacentral:lncRNA from 1 species
UAUAUAAUAUAAGUCUAAUGGCAUUAAUUGAUAAUGAUUUUAAUGGGACAGUGAAAAAGAUAAUAGUAAGAGAUGGAGUGUGCUCUAAGAUUGAUAGGGAGAGCUUGAUGGAGAGAAUGAGCUGUGAACUAAGCUGAAAGAUGAGAAGAGACCUCUCCUGUGAAUAUUUUGGCAUAGCAUGAGGUAGGCAGAGGAAACAUCAAGAGAAGGGGCCAAGAAGCUAGAGUGAAUUUGAUUUAUGUAAUAAUAAGUUUUAGUGCCUAUUUUAAGUGGAAGCAUUGUUAGAGAAAUGCUCAUAACAACAGAAUAAAAUUAGACAAGGGGUAUUCAGGGAUGUUUUCUGCCAUAGGCUACCUCUGCUUGGAAGCUUUACAAAGUUGAAGUUUCUCUGUUAGGAAGAUGGAAGAAGCAUGUCUUUAUUCUCUUCAAUUCUUUUGGUAUUUUCUUAUGGCAAAUAAACUACACAUUGCAGAAAUCUUUGUGAUUCUAUUAAUAUCCCAAAAUAGCUUGCUUGAGGAGCAGCCAGGUUAGUUGGCUAAAAUGUCAUUGUCAGGCUUCAGGCACAUGGAUUCGGUAAUGUGUACAGGUCAGAGAGAAAAAAAGAGGGUCCUCAAGAGAAAGGCAAAAAAUAGCAAUAGCAUUUGGCAAUGCCAUGAGGCUGAGUUCUCUAAUUUUAGGUCCUGAACUUUGGUCAACAUUUGAGAAGGGCAGAGAGGUCAUAAACUACAUGAACUCCUGCUGGAGAGAUCAGCUCCAAGAAAUCUGCCAGAUAAAUUUGGGGACAAUUGCCAUAUUGACCAUAUUGAGUGCUACAACCCUUGAAUACAAAAUAUUCCUUCAUUUAUUAUCUUCUAUUGCAAGCCUGAGCAACUGGAGAUCCAAUUUCUCAUUUGGAAAUAAGAUGUUUGAACUAAAUAGCUCUCAAAAGGCCCUUCCAGCUCUGAAGCUAUAAGGUAAGAGAUUGCUGCAAGGUCACCUGGGAUUUUACUCACCACCCUCAGCCUACAAGUGAAGUAUCACUCUCACUCCUUGCCUGACUGAAAUGCGCUGGGACAUGUAGACUUUUCAGAGGCUCCAAAGGAGUGGAGGGUAAGAGUGGAAACUAGGUAAAAAUGAUUCUCAUUUACUUAACAUAGGGAAAAGUCAAUGACAAGAAUCAUUAUCCUAGGUGAGAGUAGACUAUGUUCAACUUAUUCUUAGAAAAGCUCUGAUUAUAGGCCAUUUUGAGUAUAUGUAAAAUGAAAUUCUCUAAUCAGUUUCUUUCAAAUGCAGACUAUACUUGAUGCCUCCAUUUUCAUAUUUGUUAAAUGGUAGAUUUUUAAAGAAAUCCUCACAAACUUCCCUUUCAACCACCCUUUACUGAAAUAUAAAAAACAGUUCCAUAGAUAUGAUCAUACACUUCUGUAAUUAUUUUUAUAAAAGCUCAGUAAGUAAGGGGAGAAAGCUUCUAUGAUUCUAUGAAUCAUAGAAGUAGUGAAUUAGAAGAAGUAGUGAAUUAGAUUGGCAAUAUCAGUGUAAUCAGUAUAAUAUAAAUACAGAAGAAAUAAGAAUAGAUAUAUAAUAUAAAUAUUUACAGAUAUAGGUAUAUAUAAAAUUUAUUAUAUACAUGUAUAUUGCUCUGUUAGCUGAGAGGGCCUAGAAGCAAGGGUUUCUCAGUGGCAAUGAACACUCCAACUGCCCAAAUCUUUCUUUCCAACAUCAUUCUCCAAUAAAAUGAACCAGGGCUUCUUGGAGACAUGAUUGAUUCUAUGGCUGAAGGAGGAAAUGUAAGAUGCCUGUGGAACAUCUUAUCGUGUGGGAAAAGUGUUUCAAACACCCCCAUACGCACUUGCGCACACGCACGCAUGCACACACACAUGUUAACUGGGGUAUGUCAGUGGGAUGCAGGAGUCAACUGAAGAAGCUCUCAAUGGCCAAAGCUAGAAAAAAUGUAGUAAUAAGUAAAGGAAUACUGGUUUAUAACACAAAGUACAAAACAAAUAGUUAUAAGUUCACAUUAAUAUAACUAAAUGAUUAAAUAAAUAAAUGGAUAGAAUAAAUAAAUACCACAUACAGAAGGAUCCCAAGUAAUUUAUGUACAUGCAUUUAUGGUGCAACAUAACUCACCACUCCUUAAUUUUAGGCUACACAUAGUGAUCUUCUCCCAAAGGUGCAGUAUGAAAAAGAGAAAAUAUUAAAAAAUAACUUUACAGUUACAAAAGAGAAACUUAAGAAAACAGGUAACUCUACAGAAAUCUGAUAAGAUAUUGUAAAAACAAUAUCUCAGCCAGAUGUGUAAAGUUAGCAUCAUCCGUGAUAACUCAGGUUGAUAGUAUCUGCCUGGUGAUAGAGCAGAGGGCCCUACACACACAGACACACACACACAGACACACACACACACACACACACACACACAGAGCAGGACUUCUGCCCAGGAAGAGUGGGUGGUUUGGGCAAGAAUGUGCUCUGAAUGUCUGGUGAUCUGCUUGCGGUUGUACUCUUGAAUUAAGCUUAAAAUCAAGGAGAAGAGAAUGUCAGUUUACCUCUGUGUUCUUCUUCUCUAAAACCCAUGGCCCCAAUCUACUUCUGAGAAAAAACAUCAGACAAACUCCAACUGAUGAACUUUUCAGAAAAUACCUGACCAGUACUCCUCAAAACUCUCAAGGUCAUAAAAAAACAAGAUAGGUCUGAUAAACUCACAGUCUAGAGGAGCCUAAAGAACUAAGACAACUAAAUAUAACAUGGUAUCUGGAUGAGAUCCUAGAGGAAAAGAGAACAUUAGGUAACUGAGAAAAUUUGAAUAAUAUAUAAACUUUUGUUAAUCCUAAUGUAUUAUGACUUACUCAUUAUUUGUGAAAAAUAUACUGUAGUAAUAAAAAAAGGGAAACUAUAGGGAGAACUGGAUAUGGUCCAUAUGGGAAAUCUUUGUACUAUAACUGCAACUUUUCUGUAAAUUUUAAACUAUUUUAGUGUUAGUGUUUUCUUUCCCCCCAAGAAGGUGGAUUAGAAGUUUUUAGUCUGCCUCAGCUACUUGGAAAUAGCAAAACAGUGCAUAAACAUCAACUCUGUAAGCUUGAUGUUUAAAAGGAAAAUGGGAACACACUGGAAUUAUGGAGACUCCAGUUCCCAGGGAGGAGAACAUAGGUGAACAGCCCCCAUGAAGCGCCUAGCUGAUAAAAGUGAGUGAAACCCCAGUAUAUGAAAGAGAUGGAGAGCCUCCUUUUAUGACUCACUUUUCCACCAGAGUCAGACAACCCAGACUGAGGGAGAACACUUUCUCCCAAGCACCGGAGCUGACUUGCAGAGGGGCUUGGAGGCACUGAGAAGGAAUGACACCAGGAGAGGCUGCAGGCAUUUUUCCAGAUCUGGGACUGACAGCAAGGUGCCAUUUUCCAUCCCAGAUCAUACAAAAUUAUCCAUUCUUUGAAAACCCAGCAGUGUGGCUAUACAGAC